GCCCGGGUAGCUCAAUCGGUAGAGCGUGUGGCUCUUAUACUCAGAAUACAUACCCUUUCUCACAAGAUUGGAGAGAUGAGAUAUUCUAUCACAUAAAAGUACAAACCUCAAGGUCGUGGGUUCGAGCCCCACCUCGGGCU